rnacentral:SRP_RNA from 2 species
GCCAGGCAUGGUGGCGCAUGCCUGUAAUCCCAGCUACUCAGGAGGCUGAAGCAGGAGAAUCGCUUGAACCCAGGAGGUGGAGGUUGCAGUGAGCGGAGAUCGUGCCACUGCACUCCAGCCUGGGCGACAGAGCGAGACUCUGUCUCGA